rnacentral:rRNA from 1 species
UAGUCCACGCCGUAAAUGAUGGUCACUAGUUGUUGGGGCUUUAUGCCUCAGUGAUUAAGAGAAAUUGAUAAGUGACCCACCUGGGGAGUACGAUCGCAAGAUUGAAACUCAAAGGAAUUGACGGGGGCCCGCACAAGCGGUGGAGCAUGUGGUUUAAUUCGAUGAUACGCGAGGAACCUUACCAGGGCUUAAAUGUAAGUUGCAUGAUUUAGAGAUAGACUUUCCUUCGGGCAAUUUACAAGGUGCUGCAUGGUUGUCGUCAGCUCGUGCCGUGAGGUGUCAGGUUAAGUCCUAUAACGAGCGCAACCCCUGCCGUUAGUUGCCAGCAUGUUAUGAUGGGGACUCUAACGGGACUGCCGGUGCAAACCGUGAGGAAGGUGGGGAUGACGUCAAAUCAUCACGGCCCUUACGUCCUGGGCCACACACGUGCUACAAUGGUAGGUACAGAGAGCAGCCAUGUCGCAAGGCAGAGCGAAUCUAUAAAACCUAUCACAGUUCGGAUC